AUGUGGCCUCAAAUCAG
rnacentral:rRNA from 1 species